GGGCUUGGAGGGGGCAGAUCUCUACCUUGUGAGUUCCAAGGAUCAAACUCAGGUUGUCAGUCCUGUUGGCAAGACCUGCAAUGCCUUUGCUGCCCAUGUGAACUUCAUUUAAUAAUUCAUCUGACAAAUCAUUUGGUGACUCCAAGACAGGGCCCCCAAGGAUCAGUGCUGAGUUUGCAGCCAGGGAGGCGGUCAGAUGAGAAGCUGGGACAGUGCAGGAAACUCAGAUGGGCUGUCACCGUACGACAGAGCCCCGGACUCAGUUAACCCGAGAGAAUCCCCUCAGGCACACCCAGAGGGCCAUAUUCUGGGCAAUUCUCGGUCUCAUGAAGCUGACGGUUGAGAUCAGCUGUCAGGGUCCUAUGCCAACCGAAGGGCGUCGUCAGUCAGCCUGCCCGUCGUCACCCGCUCAUUUCUGGGUUAACCGGACUCCUUGAGGCAAAGGCUGGACACAUAGGUAAAACUCUGGCAUGGUUCCCAUGACUCCUGAUCAGGCACACCCUACCGCACCGUUCCUGGGAUAUCAGGCAGAACCAGAAAGGGAUUUCAUGCCUGCACUUACUUUACGAACAGCUGACCUCACAGGUGACUGAUCUGGAGGUCCCUGGGUCCUCCUGCAAAGAGGCAUUGGUCAGGGGCGAGGCUGUAGGACAAAGACCUGCUGGGCGUCCUAGAUGAGAGCUAACAAGACAGCCAGACUUUCAGUCCUAGUGAAUGCCACCGAACAACCUGGAGGAUAGAAGUGGAUCUUGCCCGUGUGAAACAUCCAGGAGACAGGUUUCUGACACCGUCACAUCAGCCUGCUGAGGCCAUGUUCCAGAACCCAUGAAACUGUGAGAUGACAGAUUACGGGGUCUGGGGCUUAGUGUGCAGUAAAAUAUGCACACUAUGAAUAUUAUUAAUUACGUUAACAUAAAACUGACUUUAAUUUCCAGCAUCCCAGACAGAAACUGUAAGCUCAUUAAGCAGCGAUUUCCUAUUCGCCCCCUCUCAUUUCCCGACUGUAGGGCACCUUCCGAAGCUCUCCCACCGCUCUGCCCAAGGCCCUCCUCAUGGCUCCUUCCCAAGCCCUCUCCGUUCCCCUGCUCCCCUGGCCCUCAUUCCUAUUCUCCACCAGCUCUCCUCAAUGCUCUUGUUCCUGGGCACAUGCUCCUCCCUCUACCUGGCAGCCAGCUCUGUGUCCCGAGGACGUUGUCAGCCCUGAAGGGCAUCAUGUAGCAGCAUUUAGUUUUGGGUGGCUCCCCCCCCCCACUUUGGUGUGAUGUUCUCAGGCUUCCCACGUGUUGGAAUUCCUACCUUCUGGUAUUUAUCCAUCCCAUCUCUGCUAUGAAUCAUGCUGUGGACACUCACGAACAUGCUCCUAUUUGCUGCUUUUGUCUUUGUCAUUUGUAUGGUAGCAGUGAACAAUACAGGAGGACACUCGGCUCCCUAAGGAAAUGGUCAUUAACUGUGUGCGUGGAUCCCAGCAAGUACCAUCGGCUCUUUUAUGUCUUACUUCCUACACACAGUAGCUGUGGCUGAGUAAGGGAUCAAACGGACAACUCGGUGUUGCACACACUAGACUUCAAAACAAGACGCUGUUUGGAACGGCUCUGCUCGGCUCCUCUUUCUCCAGAUGUCUACAUUCUGCCUUGCCCUGUUACCUGGGGUCCUGGGCUGGGGACAGCCAGGCUCAGAGUUUCCUCCUGUUGCUGAUCGGAACUGGCCAUAAAAGAAGGGCUUUUCAGGUGUUCCCUUGGGGGCAGUUCUGCGGCCUGUGGGGUGGCUGGUGGGAUCUCUGAGUGGAGAGUCGCUCUCAGAAACAUGAACAAGAAAGCAGACGCCGUAAUUUCCUAGAGAGAGGAGCGUAAUUGUUUUAAAAUCAUUUCUCUUGAGCACUUGGAAACAUCCCAGGAGUAAAACAGCGUGUUUUAAAUUAAA